CCUAGGUAUCCAGUUGCCAAAGUUGUGAGGCUGCUGCAGUUUAUCGUUGUGUAGCAUGUGAAAUGUUCAUGUGUGAGAAUUGUUGUAAUUGGCAUAACAAGUGGCCAGCAAACAAGAAGCAUACUGUGUUGUCUAUCAACGAGCUGGACAGUCCUGAAGGUCAAGCCAAGAUAAAAAGCAAACUUUAUUGUAGGAAACAUCAAGAUAAAACACUCAAGUUUUACUGUGAAACAUGCAAGGUAAGAUCUUACUGAUGAGUUAAGCCCUACUGAAGGAUGGGUUUUUAUAUAAUACAAUAACUAUACAGUGAAAAACGCAAUUUGUUUGUCAAUACCCAUGCAGGAUCAAACAAUCCUGGACGGAAAAUUUAAAUGGCUUUGCGUUGGCUUUUAAAAAUGUGGAAACUCAAAACCUUUUAACGUGUGAAGUUAACAGUAUGCUGUACAGUAUUCAACAAGAGACAAGUUAACAAAAAACGUUAUAAUAAAGUUAGAUAAAGUUAACCAUUUAAAUAAUGUUUAAAUUAAGUUAACGUUUUAAUAAAGUUAGCCAUUUUUUUAUAUAUACUGUAGUUAUUUUAUAACAAUAUUACCAAAUGGUUUUACGUGCAGGAUAGCGUCAUUCAUGACCAUGCGAUGCUGCAAGAAUCUUUCGAGAAUGUUUCGCAAACAUCCCGCGUGCAUGGCACGGAAAACCACUUUGGUAUUCUUGUAAGGGUAUUUCUAG